rnacentral:rRNA from 1 species
AGCAGCCGCGGUAAUUCCAGCUCCAAUAGCGUAUAUUAAAGUUGUUGCAGUUAAAAAGCUCGUAGUUGAAUUUCGGGAUCAAUACGUCGGUCGUGCUUCGGUACGUACUGGUGUCAUUGAUUUCUCCCUUCUGACGAACCAUGAUGUCAUUAACUUGGUGUCAUGGGAAAUCAGGACUGUUACUUUGAAAAAAUUAGAGCGUUUAAAGCAGGCUCACGCUUGAAUACAUUAGCAUGGAAUAAUGAAAUAGGACGUUCGAUCCUAUUUUGUUGGUUUCUAGGAUUGACGUAAUGAUUAAUAGGGAUAGUUGGGGGCAUUAGUAUUCAAUUGUCAGAGGUGAAAUUCUUGGAUUUAUUGAAGACUAACUACUGCGAAAGCAUUUGCCAAGGAUGUUUUCAUUAAUCAAGAACGAAAGUUAGGGGAUCGAAGACGAUCAGAUACCGUCGUAGUCUUAACCAUAAACUAUGCCGACUAGGGAUCGGAUGAUGUUAAUUUUUAAUGA